AUGGCUCAGGAUGAACGCUAGCGGCAGGCUUAACACAUGCAAGUCGAGGGGCAGCGCGGGGUAGCAAUACUCUGGCGGCGACCGGCGAAAGGGUGAGUAACGCGUGAGCAACGUGCCCGUAUGUGGGGGAUAGUCGAUGGAAACGUCGCGUAAUACCCCGUAACACAUGGAGCUGCAUGGUUCUAUGUUGAAAGAUUUGAUUGCAUACGGAUCGGCUCGCGUGCCAUUAGGUAGACGGCGGGGUAACGGCCCACCGUGCCGACGAUGGCUAGGGGUUCUGAGAGGAAGGCCCCCCACAUUGGAACUGAGACACGGUCCAGACUCCUACGGGAGGCAGCAGUGAGGAAUAUUGGACAAUGGCCGGAAGGCUGAUCCAGCCAUGCCGCGUGCCGGGGAAGGCGGCCCUAUGGGUUGUAAACCGCUUUUGCGGGGGAGCAAUAAGGUGCACGCGUGCACCGAUGAGAGUACCCUGCGAAUAAGCAUCGGCUAACUCCGUGCCAGCCGCGGC
rnacentral:rRNA from 1 species